rnacentral:tRNA from 1 species
GUCUGGGUGGUGUAGUUGGUUAUCACGUUAGUCUCACACACUAAAGGUCCCCAGUUCGAUCCUGGGCUCAGACA